rnacentral:rRNA from 1 species
UACGGAGGAUGCGAGCGUUACCCGGAUUUAUUGGGUUUAAAGGGUGCGUAGGCGGAUCGUUAAGUCAGUGGUAAAAUUGCGGGGCUCAACCUCGUCGAGCCGUUGAAACUGGGUGCCUUGAGUGGGCGAGAAGUACGCGGAAUGCGUGGUGUAGCGGUGAAAUGCAUAGAUAUCACGCAGAACUCCGAUUGCGAAGGCAGCGUACCGGCGCCCAACUGACGCUGAAGCACGAAGGCGUGGGUAUCGAACAGG